AAAAUGAUUAAAAAAGUGUAAAGAAUUACAGUGCCAUGUUUCGCUUAUUUUUCCACUUAUGUUCAGAUCCCUUAAAAAAACUUUCCAAUGUACUCUGCGUUGAUAUCACU